rnacentral:misc_RNA from 1 species
CCUUAAAGAACCUGCCUUUGCAGUGCUCACACAGAUUGUCUGAUGAAAAACAGCAGUAAAAACCUCUACAGGCUUGUAGCUCAGGUGGUUAGAGCGCACCCCUGAUAAGGGUGAGGUCGGUGGUGCAAGUCCACUCAGGCCUACCAAAUUUGCGAAGCAAAUUUGAAGAGGUUGCAAACGAUGGGGCUAUAGCUCAGCUGGGAGAGCGCCUGCUUUGCACGCAGGAGGUCUGCGGUUCGAUCCCGCAUAGCUCCACCAUCUUUACUGCGAACACAAGAAAACUUCAGAGUGAACCUGAAAAGGUGCACUGCGAAGUUUUGCUCUUUAAAAAUCUGGAUCAAGCUGAAAAUUGAAACGACACACAGUCAAUGUGUGUUCGAGUCUCUCAAAUUUUCGCAAUCAGAAGUGAAACAUCUUCGGGUUGUGA